CAUAACCAGAAGGUCUUGGACAAUCAAGUGGAGACAACUGUGCCACAAAAAGAAAUGGGCCUAUUGUAAAAGCUCAACAGAACACUUCAAUAAGGAUUCCAAAAGCCCUACAGGACUCCUUGCUUCCAGAUGAGAACAAGAUCCCCUCCAUUUUGAAAAAAAGAGAGCUGUCAUUCAUGUUUGCAUGAGAAACUAUGUAAAGCUUCUUGCAGAGCCC